UCAGAUUGUAAGGAAUCGUACCCCAAACGACACAGGUGGUCGGGUAGAGAAUACCAAGGCGCUUGAGAGAACUCGGGUGAAGGAACUAGGCAAAAUGGUACCGUAACUUCGGGAGAAGGUACGCUCUCGACGGUGAAGUCCCUCGCGGAUGGAGCUAUUGAGAGUCGCAGAUACCAGGUGGCUGCAACUGUUUUAUUAAAAAACACAGCACUGUGCAAAAUCGUAAGAUGACGUAUACGGUGUGACGCCUGCCCGGUGCGGAAGGUUAAUUGAUGGGGUUAGACUUC
rnacentral:rRNA from 1 species